rnacentral:rRNA from 1 species
GGCAAGCGUUGUCCGGAAUUAUUGGGCGUAAAGGGCUCGCAGGCGGUUUCUUAAGUCUGAUGUGAAAGCCCCCGGCUCAACCGGGGAGGGUCAUUGGAAACUGGGAAACUUGAGUGCAGAAGAGGAGAGUGGAAUUCCACGUGUAGCGGUGAAAUGCGUAGAGAUGUGGAGGAACACCAGUGGCGAAGGCGACUCUCUGGUCUGUAACUGACGCUGAGGAGCGAAAGCGUGGGGAGCGAACAGGAUUAGAUACCCUGGUAGUCCACGCCGUAAACGAUGAGUGCUAAGUGUUAGAGGGUUUCCGCCCUUUAGUGCUGCAGCUAACGCAUUAAGCACUCCGCCUGGGGAGUACGGCCGCAAGGCUGAAACUCAAAGGAAUUGACGGGGGCCCGCACAAGCGGUGGAGCAUGUGGUUUAAUUCGAAGCAACGCGAAGAACCUUACCAGGUCUUGACAUCCUCUGACAACCCUAGAGAUAGGGCUUUCCCCUUCGGGGGACAGAGU